CCUUCUUGUCCAAACUUGCUAUAAAUACUGGUAUUUUGCCGGUUUUGUCACCUUUACCACCUUUGCCACCUUUCCAAUCCAACCAUUGUGAACAAUUAGGGCAUACGUGGACGACAGUUUUAGGGCUUACUUGUGAAAAGGCCUAAAAGCGCGUAACGUUUCGAGAACUAAGAGCCAGCAAACAUGGGGGGUCACAUGAGCGCAAAGGAUGUCCGGAACCUCGUCUUCAACCUCGGCAUGGGUUUCUUCCUGGGAAUUGUUGGCGGGGCGUAUGGCAAGCGCGAGUUCAUGAGGAAGGAACUCGUCCCGAUUCACAAGUUCUUCAAAGAUCUCGAGGCUGAAAAGAUCACGACUGUGGUGACUUGAGUCCAAAAUCCCUGUAAUAAACAAACAAACGCGACGAG